GACGAACGCUGGCGGCGUGCUUAACACAUGCAAGUCGAACGAUGAAGAAAAGAAUCGAAGCUUCGGCAGAAAUUCAUUUCGGAUUAGUGGCAGACGGGUGAGUAACGCGUUAUCAACCUACCUCUUACAAAGGGAUAGCCUCGGUAAACCGGGAUUAAUACCAUAUAACAUUGCGACGAAGCAUUUCGAUGCAAUCAAAGCUACGGCGGUAAGAGAUGCGCUCGCGUCCCAUUAACCGGAGGGUGAGGUAACGGCUCACCAUAGUGACGAUGGGUAACCGGGAUGAGAGGGAGAACGGUCACACUGGAACUGAGACACGGUCCAGAAUCCUACGGGAGGCAGCAGUGGGGAAUACAGCCCAAUGGAGGGAACUAAGAUGGCGCGACGCCGCGUGAGUGAUGAAGGAAUUCGUUACGUAAAACUCUGUUAUAUGGGAAGAAACGGACUGUACCAUAGGAGAAAGCUCCGGCUAAAUACGUG
rnacentral:rRNA from 1 species